ACGGGUGAAGGACGGGAGCACAGGUGAAGGACGGGAGAACGGGUGAAGGACGGUAGAACAGGUGAAGGACGGUAGAACAGGUGAAGGACGAGAGCACAGGUGAAGGACGGGUGAACAGGUGAAGGACGGUAGAACAGGUGAAGGACGGGUGAACAGGUGAAGGACGGUAGAACAGGUGAAGGACGGGAGAACAGGUGAAGGACGGGAGAACAGGUGAAGGACGGGAGAACAGGUGAAGGACGCUCGCUCUGGCUGAGUGGGCUUCGGCUUUGAGUCGUACCUGUGGCGUUGUUGCGGUGUCCCUUGUAUCUCCGCAGGUAGUCCGCCCCGUCGCUGUGGUUGGAGUCAAACAGGUAGAUGUCUUCAUCGUUGUAGCUGGCCAGGAGUUCUGGGCAGACAGAACCGGUUCAGAACAUACCCGCUUUAGGAUGCAGAGAUCCACGACCAAAACCAUCAUUCCCCACUCAGAACCGAGCCCACAGGUGUCUCACCUGACCCAUCGUGACUGUACACUAGGCAUGUGAUGUUGGUUUUGGACUCGCUGGACACCAGGUGGGAGGGGCAGAACUUCUUCAGAACGCCGUUGUUCUCGUUCUCGUUGAUCUUCCUCUGAUCGUAGAUCCUGCAGGAGCGUUGAGGAGAACCUCAGCAGGAAUGAUCCUCAGACGGAGGAAGACCUCCGGCGGCGGCGGCGGCGUACCUGACAUACUGAUCCCUCCCCCCGACAGCAAAGUGAUGCGUCUUUGCCGGGUUGACAAAGAUGGUGUAGAGACCCACUUUCUUAUCUCCUUCCUUCACAACCACCAGCUUACUGCAACACAAACAACCUGCAGAUGAGCAGGAAACCACAGAAAGACACAAACUGCCGUUUGUCCUGAAAGCAGCAGAUUCCUUUAUUGUUAUUAAAAUGUGUUCAAACGUGUCAACAGUACAUGUCAUAUGGCAACAGAGUAGAGAAUAACAACAAUGCAGACAUGUUCUAAUGGGAGCAGGACGCUCAGCUCAUUUAAGGCUCACCGCUAAAAAAGGAAAGAAAAAUAAA